GUCUCACUCCGUCACCGAGGCUGGAAUGCAGUGGUAUAAUUUUGGCUCACGGCAACCUCCGCCUCCCAGGUUCAAGCGAUUCUCAUGCCUCAGCCUCACAAGUAGCUGGGAUUUCAGGCACGCACCACCAAACCUGGCUAAUUUUUUAUAUCUUUAGUAUUUUUUUUAUUUUACUAAAAUAAAUACUAUAUUUUAGUAUUUCAUGUUGGCCAGGCUGGUCUCGAACUCCUGACCUCAGGUGAUCUGCCCGCCUCGGCCUCCUAAAGUGCUGGGUUACAGGCGUGAGCCACCACGCCCGGCCAGGGAUGUCCUGAAGGGAAGCGUGAUGGAGUAAACAGAGGAAAACCAAAUGGGAGCUCACUACAUCUGUGACUUCUACCCACUGGAGGCAAGUAGCACCCUCAUCCACCAGUUGUGACAAUUAAAAAUAUCUGCAAGCAUCAUGAAAGACAGAAGUCUCCCCAGUUGAAAACCAAUGCCCAUCAGACACAUUAAAGUGCAAGAAGCACUGGGCUCGAGGGCUGGUGCGCAAACUUGGCUGCCUAGUGGAAUCACCCAGGAAUAUUUAAGAUAAUUCUUGUGUCUGGGCCCCACCC
rnacentral:lncRNA from 10 species